rnacentral:rRNA from 1 species
UGCAAGUCGUGCGGACCUUUUAAAAGCUUGCUUUUAAAAGGUUAGCGGCGGACGGGUGAGUAACACGUGGGCAACCUGCCUGUAAGAUCGGGAUAACGCCGGGAAACCGGGGCUAAUACCGGAUAGUUUUUUCCUCCGCAUGGAGGAAAAAGGAAAGACGGCUUCGGCUGUCACUUACAGAUGGGCCCGCGGCGCAUUAGCUUGUUGGUGGGGUAACGGCUCACCAAGGCAACGAUGCGUAGCCGACCUGAGAGGGUGAUCGGCCACAUUGGGACUGAGACACGGCCCAAACCCCUACGGGAGGCAGCAGUAGGGAAUCUUCCGCAAUGGACGAAAGUCUGACGGAGCAACGCCGCGUGAGUGAAGAAGGCCUUCGGGUCGUAAAACUCUGUUGCCGGGGAAGAACAAGUGCCGUUCGAACAGGGCGGCGCCUUGACGGUACCCGGCCAGAAAGCCACGGCUAACUAC